AUUGAACGCUGGCGGCAUGCCUUACACAUGCAAGUCGAACGGCAGCACGGGGGCAACCCUGGUGGCGAGUGGCGAACGGGUGAGUAAAGCAUCGGAACGUACCCGGAAGUGGGGGAUAACGUAGCGAAAGUUACGCUAAUACCGCAUAUUCUGUGAGCAGGAAAGCAGGGGAUCGCAAGACCUUGCGCUUUCGGAGCGGCCGAUGUCGGAUUAGCUAGUUGGUGGGGUAAAGGCCUACCAAGGCGACGAUCCGUAGCGGGUCUGAGAGGAUGAUCCGCCACACUGGGACUGAGACACGGCCCAGACUCCUACGGGAGGCAGCAGUGGGGAAUUUUGGACAAUGGGGGCAACCCUGAUCCAGCCAUGCCGCGUGAGUGAAGAAGGCCUUCGGGUUGUAAAGCUCUUUCGGCGGGGAAGAAAUCGCGCAGGCUAAUACCUUGCGUGGAUGACGGUACCCGAAUAAGAAGCACCGGCUAACUACGUGCCAGCCGCCGCCGUAAAAC
rnacentral:rRNA from 1 species